AGAGUUUGAUCCUGGCUCAGGAUGAACGCUGGCGGCGUGCCUAAUACAUGCAAGUCGAGCGAGAAUCUGAUGAUCGGAGAUUCGUCAAAGAGAAUCAGAGGAAAGCGGCGGACGGGUGAGUAACGCGUAGGCAACCUGCCCUUAGCAGAGGGAUAGCCAUUGGAAACGAUGAUUAAAACCUCAUAAUGCUGAAGAGUCACAUGUCUUUUCAGCCAAAGAUUUAUCGGCUAAGGAUGGGCCUGCGUCUGAUUAACUAGUUGGUGAGGUAACGGCCCACCAAGGUGACGAUCAGUAGCCGACCUGAGAGGGUGAUCGGCCACAUUGGAACUGAGACACGGUCCAAACUUCUACGGAAGGCAGCAGUAAGGAAUCUUGCACAAUGGGGGAGAGCGUGAUGCAGCAACCCCGCGUGAACGAUGAAGGCCUUAGGGUUGUAAAGUUCUGAUCUGUGGGAAGAAGAAAGUGACGGUACCACAGGAGAAAGCCCCGGCUAAAUACGUGCCAGCAGCCGCGGUAAUACGUAUGGGGCAAGCGUUAUCCGGAAUUAUUGGGCGUAAAGAGUGCGUAGGUGGUUACCUAAGCGCAAGGUUUAAUCUUGAGGCUCAACCUCAUUCUGCCUUGCGAACUGGGCUACUUGAGUGCUGGAGGGGAAAGCGGAAUUCCCAGUGUAGCGGUGAAAUGCGUAGAUAUUGGGAAGAACACCGGUGGCGAAGGCGGCUUUCUGGACAGUAACUGACACUGAGGCACGAAAGCGUGGGGAGCAAACAGGAUUAGAUACCCUGGCUAGUCCACGCCGUAAACGAUGAGCACUAGGUUGUUGGGUACGAAUGUAUUCAGUGACGCAGUUAACGCAAUAAGUGCUCCGCCUGGGGAGUACGGUGGCAACACUAAAACUCAAAGGAAUUGACGGGGACCCGCACAAGCAGCGGAGCAUGUGGUUUAAUUCGAAGCAACGCGAAAAACCUUACCAGGGCUUGACAUCCCUCUGACCGGAUCUUAACCGAUCCUUUCUUCGGACAGAGGUGACAGGUGGUGCAUGGUUGUCGUCAGCUCGUGUCGUGAGAUGUUGGGUUAAGUCCCGCAACGAGCGCAACCCUUGUCGUCAGUUACUAACAUUCGGUUGAGGACUCUGACGAGACUGCCGAGGUCAACUCGGAGGAAGGUGGGGAUGACGUCAAAUCAUCAUGCCCCUUAUGUUCUGGGCUACACACGUGCUACAGUGGCCGGUACAAUGAGAGGCAAAGCCGCGAGGCAGAGCAAAUCACCAAAACCGGUCCCAGUUCGGAUUGCAGGCUGCAACUCGCCUGCAUGAAGUCGGAGUUGCUAGUAAUCGCGAAUCAGCAUGUCGCGGUGAAUGCGUUCCCGGGUCUUGUACACACCGCCCGUCACACCAUGGAAGUUGGGGGCGCCCAAAGUUGGCUAAUUAAUCUGCUACCUAAGGCGAAACCAAUGACUGGGGUGAAGUCGUAACAAGGUAACCGUA
rnacentral:rRNA from 1 species